CCCAACUGAGUGAAACAACCUGGACGUAUUUUAGUGUCGGCUGUUUGAAUUGUCUAAAUGAUAAGGAAAGGAGCUUUAUCGCUUCCUUUAUCCCCUCCUUUAGCAUAAGAUACACUGGACUGUCCUUCAGCAAAGGAGAGAAGAAAAGCCGACCCACAUUUCUUUGCGUCAACUUCAUUUAAAGUGACGUGCCUGUUGACCUAUUUUUUCUCUAUUCAUUUUUUAUCCAAACAGUUAAUCAGUCGAUCAGCCAUUAUUUCAACUGCAUUUGUUUUGCUAUUUUAAUUGUUAAAGUUAGUGUGGUAAAACUUUAUAAAUGACUCUUUUAAAGUGGGGUUUCUGAUGUUCAAUGACGAUAAAGUUGGCAUAUUGCCAUAUUGUGAACAUUGUUUCUCAUCAUGAUUAUCAAAAGUAAGAUGAAGAAAAUCUGUAACCAUUGAAGGUUAAAUUGUAGUUUUUACACAGUUAAACCACGUCAUGUCCAUAACAUUCACUUAGGGAAAGUGCAGUGCUGUUGCUCUGUCUGCUGCUACUCAGACCUCCACUUCAGCUGCUCUACUAAAAUCCCCCAAACUUUCAGACUCUUUAUUCAAAAAUAUUAACCCAGCUGUAAAAAUCUGCUUUGGAAUCUGCAUUGAAACUAGCAGAUUAAAGGCUGUUGCCCAGUUGAAAUUAGCUGUCUGCACGUUAGCUGAGAAAAAGUAAAUUAUGAUACGUCCUUUGUCCAAUGAAUAAAAUCAGUACUAAGAAAGAAAAUUGAUAUGACAUUAACUUAACCAUGGAAAAGUGACUGGUUGUGGGUUAAAAAAGAAAACAAUUCCAUGAGUUGUUCUGUAGUUAUCUUUACUUUGUUGUUUCUGAUGUCUGCCAGUGUGUGCAUUUAUUAUGUACUUCAGCCUUUUGUGUUUCCUGUUUUAUUUUGUAGGUCCUCUUGUGUUUUGGGUCUUUAACCUCUUUUUUUGCCCAUUGAUGAUUAUUCUCUGGCAUUAGCUCCCAGUAUUUUCUGUUUCUUUUCUGCUCUUUUCUACUUUGUGUGAUCCUGCAAUUUAUUCCAAAAGUUCUGGUGUUUUCUGGUUUCAUACUGUCUUCUACCUCCGUUUGUGAUGAGUAUAUAUUUCCCACAUUUUAGUUUCUGGUAUUUUAAGCCUUAUUUUGUCAUCUUCCCUCCCUGUGUUUCUGUGUGUUUCCUUGUAGUUCUUCUCUUAAGUUCCCCCAGUUCUAUUUCAUUAUAGUUAGUUUUACUUCCUGGUGUUUUCCCUCCACUGUUACUGUCAUUAGUCUCACCUGUGCUUGAUUGCUUCACUCUCACCUGUGUCUAAUUAUCACUGUGUGUAUUUAGUCUCGGUGCUCCAGCCCUUCUGUGUCAGAUCGUCAUGUCUUGCUCCCUCUGGAUUUUCCAAGUAUUUUUCCUUUUUUGGCUUUGUGUUUUUGCCUUUGGAUUUCCUGUGGACUGAGGUCUAGUUACUCUUCCAACUGUCAGAGGUUUCAGUACACUACAAAACCAAGUAGAAUGACAGGCUGCUAAACCAACCAUGAUUAAUAUCUUAUUAGUAAAAGGCUGAUGUCUUUGAUUGGUUGCAUCCCUAGCACAUCCUCUGAAACCAGCAGAAAGAGAGCUGGAAAACAACUGGACUUUGUUGAAACACGUCCACAAGGAAACAUAUUUUACACGCCUGGAUGUGAUGACACAGCUGAUCCAGGAUCUCUUUGAAGCACUUCUCCACACUCAUAUUAAACAAGAUAACAAAGGAGAUGUGUCACACACUGGUGUUAGAAAUCAUUGUUUAUUUGCUGUUUUUGUGGUUGUAGAUGGUGAUGCACAUGUAUGAACAUGUGUGUGUCUCCAUGCAGCCAAAUGAUGUAAUGCUUUGUUAAAGCUCCACAAUAAA